ACAGGGACAGAAACAUCAAGCACUUGAGACCACAGGCCAGCGACUGUCCCGCGCCCUGGGCCCCUGAGGGCUCCGUCCUCCAGCAAAGGCUGGGUUCAGAGAUCCCAGGGGCUCUGCGUGUGUCUUAGCCCUGUCCUCCCUGCCCUAGUGAAUGGCAGGGACACAGCAGGCAGCUAGGAAAGGAAGCAGAGGCCAGAGGAAUCGGUGCAUUUCCACCUUUGCUGGGUGGGGCCUCUGGGAACGUGAACAGAGCAGCUGCAAAGGGCUUUUCCCCCUCAGCACUUUAAUCAAGGAAUGAAACCUAGCAUCACCAAUAGGGAGCAC
rnacentral:lncRNA from 1 species